AAAACAUUCAAGACAAAACACGUAAAAUAAAUAAAACUAUUGCUAUUGAACAAAAAUUACAGUAACUUGGUACUUCGUUAAUUCAUUACACUUUUACAUAAUAUGACGAUUUGAGGAUUUAUAAGGAAAUGUUCUGGAAUAAAUUAGUACAGUAAUACAGUAGUAUUGGAAAUAUUAUUUGGAAUAAUCAGUAUAGGUACAUUAGGCAAUAUCCUUCUGAGUCUGUUCGGAAAGUGAGUUGUGGAAUGUAUUGGACCCCAUGCAUUUCACUCUUCACUUUCCGAACAGACUCUAUUGAACACAAAUGAGGUUUGGAAUGUAUUUUAUUUGUUUAUACUGUAUGUCACAUUUUCAGGGAAUUUUAGGUCAAUUGUACUCAAAAUCACGAGCGCUCUCUAUGUCAAUAGGAGACAAAAAGUGUCCCAGAAUUUCUGUAGGUACAUCUUUGUUACUUCAUCAUCUUUUUUACCCCGCA